rnacentral:misc_RNA from 1 species
GUGAAUCAUCGAAUCUUUGAACGCACCUUGCACCCUUUGGUAUUCCGAAGGGUACACCCGUUUGAGUGUCAUUGUAAUCUCACUACGACCACUUUAUUGUUGGUUUGUAUGUGGACUUGGAUGUUGCAGUGUAACAAACGGCUCGUCUGAAAUGCCUGAGUGUACCCUGCUUUUGCGGCGUAUUCGGUGUGAUAAAUCUUCACCGGAGUUGACUUUCGGGUCGCGCUUGUAUUGUCGGGCUCUAUGCUUCCAACCGUCCUAACAAGACAAUCUUUGACAAUUUGACCUCAAAUCGGGUGG